rnacentral:miRNA from 1 species
UGAAUGUUAUGAAGGCCCACGAC